UUUCUGCUCUCUCUCUCUUCUACAGUGUUUACGUUUGGUUAUCCAUGUUAUUUAGAAAAGUUUUAUAAUUGUAUUUUUAUUACUAUUAGAUGAUAAAACAUGAAUGAUACUUUAUACUUGACUAUGUUUUAAAAAAAUUAUAAACUUUUAAAAUAAUACGAACAAUCAAACAUUGAACAUAGAAAUCCAUUGAUACAGUUAAU
rnacentral:pre_miRNA from 1 species